rnacentral:lncRNA from 1 species
UAAAAGUAUUUUUUCGUACAUAAUUUGCUAAAUCUCAGCAUCUGCAGAUCACAAGAUAUUUUUUUUUCCAUCUCUCUAUUUUGAGGUAAUUGUAGAUGAAGCAGAAACAACUAAUAAACUUCGGUUUUGUAGGGAUCUCUACACAUGCAUUUGUGGGAAAUAUACAUUCCCAAUAAAAGAGUUAUCUUGUCUUUUCCGUGAUCGCGAAGAGCCUAAUACAUGGUUUCGAGUAUGAUCCCAAAAAAAGAAAAUCCUUUUUCUUUUUAUGGUACAUCAAUUUGGCUGUCGCUGGUGUCUUGUUGUUUACUUUAAGCCUCCGUUUGGUUCGGAGUUAAGGAAAAAGUAGCUAUUCCAGGGAUAGAGUUAAGUUCAGGGUUAAAGUUUUUUUGUGUUUGGUUGGGGGUUGGAGUUAGUCUAGAAUAAUGAAAAAUAGUGUUUGGCUGGGUAGGUGGGAUAAGAAAAUAAUGAUUGAUAAAGAAGAAUAAUGAUUGGUUGGAGUAGGUAUGAUAAGAAAGAUAGUGGGUUAUUAUGAAUAGAAAAUAGUGUUUGGUUGGAGUUUGGUGGGGUUAGGUGGUGUUAGUUAAUCCGGAAUAAUUUAUUUGAGGUGGGGUUAGGUGGGGUUAGCUAACCCCACCUAUUUUUUGGGAUGAACAUUAUAAGUUUUUUUAAGAAAAAUCUAUGUGAAAAAUUGUGUUUCCUAAUAAGUAGUGACAGAAUAAUGGGGCUUGCCCUGGCACUACUCUUUUUAGCUUCCACCUCUUUGUAUGCACUCACUCCCAUAUGAUGGGGCUUCAGAAAAUCCAUAGUCAAAAAGCGAGAAAUUAAUGAAUUCCGUGGAUUUGAUUCCACCUCUCGUUCUGUUGAAAUCGCAGAGUCGAUUUUCUUAUAACUAUUCAAUAAAAAAUUUUAUAAAAUUUUAUAACCUUCCAUGUCAAAAUAAAUAAAUAUCGUGACUAUGUUUGACAUCAAAUAAAUAAAUAAUGGGACUACUUUGACAUAAAAUAAAUGAAAAAAAAGGGCCUUAUAUUCCUGUGAGGUCGUGUUAUCUCAGUUAUGGAGAAUCCUGGUUUCUAUCGAUCACUUCCUCUCCUCUCCUCUCUUUUACCCGACCCUUCUCUCUCUCUCUCUCUCUCUCUCUCUCUCUCUCUCUCUUCGCUUGAGAAGUAACCAAUCUCUAAUCUCAGUACGAUUCCAUACCCAAUCUUUCCCUUCUUUUUUUUUUUUUUAUUUACCUUCGUUUUUUCUUUUUUUCUUUUUUAUAAUCAUCGGUGAGUUCCGUAACAACAAUAGAGCGGAGUCCAAUUUUUACCGAGAAAAAAAAACACCUUUUUGACGCGAAUUUUCGCAUUAACGAAUCGUUUUCCACACGCUUUGAUGAUCUAAUCUCUUGCUGCGAUUUUCUAAGAAACAAUUUUCAUUGUGGAUUCGCAGAAAAGUAGCAUUUUUUUUUUGUUUUUUGGUGUUAUUUGCCUAUUUUAAUUUUGCAGAGGCGAUAGAGUUGUUUAGGAUGAGGCUCAUAAAGGUUGCAACUUGUAAUUUGAACCAAUGGGCGAUGGAUUUCGAUACCAAUGUGAGGAACAUCAAGGAGUCGAUAUCUAGGGCUAAAGAAGAAGGGGCCGCAAUUAGGAUCGGCCCCGAGCUCGAGAUUACGGGUUACGGUUGUGAGGAUCAUUUCCUGGAGCAGGACAGUGUUACGCAUUCGUGAGUUGUUAUUUCAUAGAUUUCAUGCUCUAAUUUCUCGUUCCUCCUUGUUUUUGGCUUAAUUUUCCAUAUUGCUACUUUUUUUCGCACAAGGGAACAAAAAUUACUAAUUGGAGGGGGGGAAAAAACAGUUUGUUUUGAUAGUAGGAGUGAAAUUACUUAUCUUCUUAUCAGAUUUCUAUUUGCUUGUCACUGAUUUUAUGGUAAUCUAGCUAUAUAUGUUGAUAAAACAAUUUUUUUUUUUAUUUUUUGACAAAAAAAAAGCACUUAAAAAUGAUCUCUUGCUGUACUUAUCUCGUUAGAAGAAAUUGCAACUUUUUUCGUCUUAUAUAGUUUUAUUGGCGAAUUCCACGCGAAGCCCUAGCAUGGUAUUAAUCAGUCUGAGAAUUUGAUAUCAAGGUUACUUUAUUUGAUAUAUGAUUUUUCAGUCACACCUUAUGCUCAGCCCUAUUCAUUUAGACACAUUUGAACAAGGGCAUUGGGACUAGAUUUAUUGCUAAAACCUAGUUUUUCUAUUCAAAAGGUUCACUUUGUCACAUCAAUUCUCUCUAUUUUGCCUCUUUUAAGUGCUUAAUAAGUUUAUUUUUUCUUUUGUACCAAUUUUGUUUUGAAUUAGUCUUAAUGUAGCUGUAGGCACUACUGCUUCUACUAAGACAUUAGAAGUACUUUUGUGCAGAUGGGAAUGCUUGAAGGAUAUCUUAUCAGGUGAUUGGACUGACAAUAUACUAUGCAGCAUAGGAAUGCCUAUCAUUUUUGAAAGUGUGCGGUACAAUUGCCAGGUUUUCUGCUUAAACCGAAAGAUAAUCAUGAUUCGCCCAAAGAUGGCCCUUGCAAAUGACGGAAACUAUAGGGAAUUUCGGUGGUUCUCUGCUUGGACAUUGAAAGACAAACUUAUGGACUUCCAACUCCCAACUGAUGUUUCUGAGGCUAUAUCGCAGGACUCGGUGCCCUUUGGCUAUGGAUACAUCCAGUUUCUUGAUGUGUAAGUGCUAACCGCUGGUUACUUAAUUAAAAGUUCAGUAGCCUGUUUAAACUACAUAGUAAAGCGUCUUCAUUUGCUUCUGCAUGCCAUCAUUAGUAGCUUCACUUUGUGUUGGCAUCUUUUUCUCAAUCUAAAGGUUUUUGUUAAGCAAGAGUAAACUUGAAAUUUGCUUUUUUCUUUUCUUGUUUGUUCAUUUUAUAUUGGUAGAAGAGGUUGUUACAAUCAGAUUCUCUCUUCUUUUUCUUUUUUUUUUGUUGUGAGAAUGUGUAAAGAAGUCUUAUUGCAUGAAUAAUACUAUUAAUUUAUUUUUGAAAGCAAAUUCUCAAACAUAUUGUUCUGAGAUAUUCCUGCCAUGCUAUUAUCUGUGAAAUAUUCAAUCCAGUGCUUUUUCGUGUACUCAAAUUACUUAUUUAAUGAUCUAAAAAUGGGGGAAAUUGUUCUUGGUAUGUUCAUUAAUAUGCAUUUUUAACUGCUACUUUUGUACCUGUCAGAUCUUUGGCUGCUGAAACUUGUGAGGAGCUCUUCACUGCAGAUGCUCCUCGGAUCGAGUUGUCACUGAAUGGUGUUGAGGUCUUUAUGAAUGCAAGUGGAAGUCACCACCAGCUAAGAAAACUGAACCUUCGAAUUGAUUCAAUAAAAAAUGCAACCCGUUUUUGUGGAGGUGUUUACAUGUAUAGUAAUCACCAAGGAUGUGAUGGUGGCCGCCUUUACUAUGGUAUGCAGUUUUCUUAUUAGAGCAUUGAUCUAUAAAAGUAGUUCAACAGGGAAAUCAGAAUGUACUCCAAAUUGUUAUUGAUCAAUCAGCUUGAGUAGCAACCAGCUAGUUUUUCAGGUUUUCAAACUUGAUGUCCAGUUCAGUUGCUAUGCUUGAAGUAUGGCUAUGCUUGAAGUAUGAUUCACCAAUUAUACGUGGUGUACCUUAGCCAAACUGUAGCGAUCACAGAGAUUACUCAUAACUGCAUUGAAGAGUAUCUAUAAUGAUUACAAGGAUAACUGGGGAUGAAGGGACUACAUUAUUUUUGGUUUUGGUUGGCAUUGUAUUCCCAGAUAAUCCUUGAAGAACCCAAUUAGACCAGAACAGCUAUCCCCUGCUUUCUUCUUGUCGUCAUGGUUGGUAACCUGAGCAAUAUUCUAGGGCAUCCUUUGGUUGGGGAUAAGAAGCAGAUAACUGGACUCGUUUUUGUAACUUAAUUGAUCAACUUAUAAGUGUUCUCUUUAUUGUUGAUUCUUCUUGCUAGAUGGAUGUUGCUGUAUUGCUGUAAAUGGAGAUGUGGUUGCACAAGGGUCUCAAUUUUCCUUGAAUGAUGUUGAAGUAUUGAGUGCUCAAGUAGAUCUUGAUACUGUAAGAGAUAUUCCCUUUCAACUUUUAUUUAUGUAUAAUAAUAGGCAUUUUGGUUAACAUUAACUGAAACUAUUUUAAGCCCCUUAUGCUAGCUGCUUAUGUACUGCACAGACAAUCAUUAAGGGAGAGACAGGUUAUGAUUCGGAUUUAUAAUUUACAAAUCUUGCUUUCCUUUUUCGUAACCUUGUGAAAUCAGUAUUUCACUGUAUUCCGUUAGUAACAAUAGUCCAUAUGGAAAUAUAUCGUAUUAAUGUUGCUCUUGUUUCUUAAAUUCAUGGUAAUCACAUUUCAUGUUCCACAGGUUUCUAGCUAUCGAGGAUCUAUGAGUAGUUUCAGGGAGCAGGCAAGUCGCAAAUCGAAGGUUCCCUACGUGAAGGCACCGUACAAACUUUGUCAACCAUUUAAACUUGGAAUGUUUCCUACUAGCCCAGUUGAAGUAAGCUUCCUUUUUUGCCCUAAAACUUUUUGAGAAAAUAGUACACAAAACCAGUAUGCUUAUUUUUGUUGCUAUUAUGUGGUGUAAAAUUCAUUAGGUUGUUCAUAAUGGUCAUUUGUGGCAUGCAGAUUAAGUAUCACUGUCCUGAGGAAGAGAUAGCAUUUGGGCCUGGCUGUUGGCUGUGGGAUUAUCUGCGAAGGAGCGGGGCUUCUGGCUUUUUGCUUCCCCUUUCUGGAGGAGCAGAUAGUUCUGCAGUUGCAGCUAUUGUUGGCUGCAUGUGCCAACUAGUUAUAAAAGGUCAGAUCUGCACCAAUAUUUUUCAAAUAGGCUAUGAUGCUUAUUUUUAUUUUCAUUUUUUCUUGCCAGAAGCAUGAACCUGCUUUCUUUUGUUUCAAAUUCACUCAACAACUUCAAUACUUGUUAUGCUAGUUCGCCAAUGUCUUAAUGUGUCUACCAGUUUGCUAAGGGACGUGGUAGUGCCCGUUUAAUCCCACAUGUCCUUUGCCUUUUCUUUAUAAAGAUAAAAUCUUAUUUCAGUUGCUGCUCAAAGCAUUCUUGUCUUAAGAUGUUCUCCAAGUAUACAAUCUCCUUUCUGCUUGAACCUUUUGUUUGGCCAUUUUACUUAUCAUGCAUAGGCCUGAAAUCUUUAAUUAGAUAUACAAAAAGGAGAUGAGCAAGUAAAGGCUGAUGCCCUUCGGAUUGGCCAGUAUAAAAAUGGAGAGUUUCCAACCGACAGUCGAGAAUUUGCGAAGCGCAUAUUUUAUACGGUUUACAUGGGAAGUGAGAACAGGUAUGAAUCUAUUUAUAUCUAAGUUGUAUCAGCCCCCCAAUUUCAUGUUCAGUAAGCCUACAGUUUUUCAUCUAAGUAACUUAUCAUUAGAUAAAUUAUUUGACAUUCACUACCUUUGGUGAUAGAAGUUUACUGUGCUUUUCAGUUCUGAAGCUACUAGAUCACGUGCAAAGAAGCUAUCUGAUGAGAUUGGUUCAUGGUACCUAGACGUGCAUAUAGAUACUGUUGUUUCUGCAUUGAUCUCUUUAUUCGAGAAGCUAACAGGGAAGCGUCCACGAUACAAGGUGAGCAUAUAUUACACAGUCAAUUGUAGAGAUUAUAUUUGCAGGGUUUAGUGCUUUCAGUGGGUAGUACUGUCUGAUUGUUGUGAAGCCAUAUGUUCUAAUCUUUUGUAGUUGCAACGAAAUUUGUUUUAUGUUUCUAAUCGGAUGUGUAAGUAGUAAUAUUGUGUAACUAUAAAUAUUCUGAAUCACGAGAUGGUGUAUAAUCUUAUCCUCUAUCAUGAAGUGUCGUUAAAGACUUGUGAAGCCAUAUGUUCUAAUCUUUGCAGGGUUAUAUUUGCAGGGUUUAGUGCUUUCAGUGGGUAGUACUGUCUGAUUGUUGUGAAGCCAUAUGUUCUAAUCUUUUUGUAGUUGCAACGAAAUUUGUUUUAUGUUUCUAAUCGGAUGUGUAACUAGUAAUAUUGUGUAACUAUAAAUAUUCUGAAUCACGAGAUGGUGUAUAAUCUUAUCCUCUAUCAUGAAGUGUCGUUAAAGACUUGUGAAAUUCUUUUUAGCAUGACCAAGUAUUACCGCAUAACAUUAAUGGCCUAUCAAAUGCAGCCAAUCUGUAGGUGGUUACUUAUUAAAUCGCAAAAUGUGAAUUUAUAAGGCAGCAUUUUUGUUGCAUUAGUAGCAUGUUGCCCCAAAUUGCUUAGCAUGACAAGACUACCACUUUGCCAAAUCUAUAGGUUGAUGGAGGAUCAAAUACGGAGAACCUGGCUUUGCAGAACAUUCAAGCUCGAGUGAGGAUGGUAUUAGCCUUUAUGUUGGCAUCUCUUAUGCCCUGGGUUCAUAAUAAAUCUGGCUUUUAUCUCGUACUUGGUAGCUCGAAUGUGGAUGAAGGCUUACGUGGUUAUUUGACUAAGGUAAAAGCGAGGUUCUACUUCUGUUUUCUUAUUUUCCUCAAAUUGCUUUGAACUAACAUGAAUUGGUGGUCAAUAUUGAACAUUACUCAUUUAACGAGCUAGAGUUGUUGCCUUUUUCUCAUUCUAAAUUCUGAAUGCAUUAAUGCAAAAUUUCAUGUGGUGAGAGAUGCUUUGUGUAUUCAAAUCUGGAGAUAUCUAUAUACAUUACCCUGCGAAAACCACCUUUCUCCAUAUAUCUAUGCAGAGCAACACCACUAUCUGAUAAACCUUUUCUAACAGAAUACAAAUUUUUCCCUGCACAUUAGAUGACUCUUUCAACUCAAGAAAACAAUAUUUUUGUAAGAAGCGGCGCAUGAUGGCUGCAUAUGAAAAUUAGAUUUGAUGGAAGUAUCUGUGUAAACAGAUGAUCUUGCUGAGAAUGAAAUUAUACCUGAUAUCAGCAGUAUAUAUACAAUUUAUAAGAUCGCUUCUUUCUUGUGCAAAAUCCACAGUAUGAUUGCAGUUCAGCAGACAUAAAUCCCAUAGGGAGUGUGAGCAAGCAGGAUCUCAGGGCCUUUCUUCGUUGGGCAGCUGUUCACCUCCAAUACCCUUCUUUGGCAGAUAUCGAAGCGGCACCUCCAACUGCAGAACUGGAGCCCAUUCGUUCCAACUAUAACCAGGUAUAUGUUUGGUACUCGAAAGCUCAAACACACAAUUCCAGGUUUCAUUUUUCUGAAAAGAAAUCAGACUGAGUUAACUGUGUGAUUCUCCACUCGUGUAGUUCUUUUAGAAUUUGGAAUAUGAAAAACAAAAGAGUAAUUAAGUGGUUCUUCUUUCGGAAACUGCUUUUCAUACAAAGAUUGCUCUCUAUAUGAAUCAGUUGGAUGAAGUGGACAUGGGGAUGACCUAUGAGGAAUUAUCGAUAUAUGGAAGGCUGAGAAAGAUUUUCCGCUGCGGCCCUGUGUCAAUGUUUCAGGUUGGUGCCGAAACCUUGAAUGCGCUUUUGGGAAACUCAUAAUCACAAUACACUUUACUAGGAAAUUAAAACCUUCACGUCACUAGGAAAUCAAAACUUCUUGGUGGAUUUUGUUUUGUUUCGUUUCCCUUUCUUUGAAUUUGAUUUGUUGACAUAUGAACAUAAAUUGCAGAAUCUAUGCCACAGAUGGUGCGGGAGAUUAUCCCCAUCAGAGGUUGCAGACAAAGUGAAGUACUUCUUCAAGUACUAUUCCAUCAACCGGCAUAAAAUGACCGUCUUAACACCAUCAUACCAUGCUGAGGUACCUUUCCUCUUCUAAAUUGCUAAUUUUUGCGCUAAAUUUUCUCAUCUAUCAAUUUUGUUCAAUUAUGCCCCUGCUUUGGCAGAGCUAUUCACCGGAGGACAAUAGAUUUGACCUUCGCCAGUUCCUGUACAAUUCGAGAUGGCCCUAUCAAUUCCGCAAGAUCGAUGAACUCGUCCAAGAGAUGGAUAAGGAUCCUAAAACUGUUGAAGUUCAAGAAGUGCUACAAAGGAAGGAUUUGGAUAUAACAUCUGGGCACGGAAGCGGGAUGGGAGUUGCCGCGGUGGGAUCUGGCAAUCCAAGAGCUGGUCUCUAAAAGAGACAAUAGCUAAGAAGUUAAUGAAAUAAUUACCAGGUUCUCCUUCAUCCAUUCCUUUUCGCUAUACGCUAUAAAAUCGGACUCGUCAAUAACCACUAAAAACCAGUGUCACUAGCAAUUUCAGGAGAAGCUGAUACUGUAACAACAGAAAUUGAGAGCAGGGAUUAAAUUUCAGAGCUAGUUUGUUUCGUAAUAAACAUUCAACAUUUACAUACCUUACACAAUUGAGAGACGACAAAAAAAAAAAGCCUUGUCCCUAACUUCGUCCUGGAAAUUUUAAGUUUCUGUAAUUAGUUAGUUCACCUGGGUCUGGACAAAAAUUUUUUGUGCUCUCAUAUAUAGGAAUUAAAAUUUGACUAAAGUUUUCUAUGUGGAAAGACAUGUAUAGUUUAUUUAUGUUGUUUUUUUUUUUUUCCUUUUCCAGUAGUAAAUGUGCUCUUGGCUCAGCCAUUAUUCAUCACAGACCUGCUUUUCAAUCUUCUAAUUAUGUCCGGAUCAGACAAAAAAAAAAGGGAAAAAAAAAAAACUUUGCACCCAUCAUUACUCUUAUUAAUUCUUCCAUCCACUUGUGACUCUAUAGCUGCUAAGAAAGAUCCAAAAUAGGCUAGGCUUGUAGGGCUGGUUGGUUCUCGGAAAAGUCUCUCUUCUUUGCAGCAUGUGGAGUGGUCAUAAAUAAAGUUCUUCUUUAAUCAUUUUUUUUCUUUUCAAAAUUAUCAAAAUAAUGUCAAUUACAUCAAAGUAAUCUGUAACGUGUUCGUGUUCGGGUACGUUAUAUCAUCAUGGUGUACAAUUACAUUGAUUAGUUUGGGAUACACCAGUUUUGAGGCCUCUAUUUCAUGGAUUCCAGUUCUAAUUUGGACUUCUUUUCAUGAUAUAAUAUUUAGUCCCAUAAAACUAAAUAAAAGGCAUUAUUAACAGGUUAACUCAAUAACACCAUACUCACGAUGUUAUGGUGGUUUAGUACAAUUGUAAAACAACUUGGAACUAAAAAAAUAUAAAUGAAGAUUAGAAUACAGUUCUAGUAUAAUUGUAAAACAACUUGGAACUGAAAAAAUAUAAAUGAAGAUUAGAAUACAGCUCAAGGACAUAGCACAAAAUCCAAUUCUUUGGCGAUGUGGAGGAAUUUUAUACUGUCACACUUGCAUCACGUCAUCAAUAACAAGCCAAUCAUAUUUUUUCUUUUCAAAUAAAAGUACAAUAGUUUUUUAUUUUUAUAAUCAUGAUAGGACAUAUCUCUAAAACGAGAUAUUUGAUUGGCUUGUUAUGGCACAUCACCAAUAUACCCUUUGCAUUCUAGAAUUUCUCCGUGAUGUGAGUUUCAAGCAGACAUAUAAUUUGAGUUAGUCAAACCAAUAUACAUACACAUACUUCUCUGCAGCUAAAAUACACAUACUUCUCUGCAGCUAAAAUUCUCCAUACUUAAACAUCUACAUUACAAUACCAAAAAAAGAACCCUAGUUCAUAACUAGCCAAAAGUACACCUGAAAGAGGAAAACCACCGAUUGGCACCAAAACCCAAGAAGCACUUGGUGUCGACAAGCUUCGGGUACCAGAAAGCACUAACUCAUGACGAAGCUCGGCUUUCUCCACCAAAAUCACUAACCCCCAACUAGGUUAAACUGAAGAAACACCCGCGAUGGAAUAGUUCAUCUGCGCAACUUCUUUGCAUACCUGAUCGAGAAUGGCGAGAAAGUCCCUCACCACCAUGAAAAACCUGAAUGGGUGAGCUUCCUCCUUGGCGCAAUCUCCAUGGAAGUACUCCGUUAGCUCCCUCACCAGAGAUAGUGUUAUGCUCUCUUGGGCCUGAACUUUCACAAUUUCGCCUUCUGACCUUCGCAAGAAGGCGCUCAUCACCUCGUGGAACUGCAGGUUACGGUCUGUUGUACUUAACGCAGAAUUCAGUCUCAGUACGUUGUGAAUUUUUCCGAUCCCUUCUGCAAGCUUCGAUACGCUACCGCUUAGUGCAUCUGAGUCCAUAACAGCUGCCUUCUUCACAUUGUUGAGCUCCAAUCCAAGCCUCGAAACAACAUGAAGGCCAACUUUUUUGCACUCGAGAUCAUUGAAGAGAGGACUUUUGUCCGGUUCAACCAUUUGAAAUUGGGUAGAGAAAUGGCGAUAGCCUUCGCCUUUUGCGAUUUCCUGGACGACAAAGUGAAGGAGGGUGGUCCUCCCGUCGGAGGCUUUUACAUCAACGAGUUUCAAAAGAGUGUCGAGCUUAAAGGCGUGAGCAUCACCACGGUUUGUGCCGACAUUCAUUCGGUUCCCGGUCUUAAGAACAGCUUCUAGAAGCUUGUGGAACAAUCUGCUUCCCUUUAGCUCUUCACAAGCCGCCUGAAAAAUGAAAAAAAAACACAAGGAAAAAGCUAAUUAUCACAAAAAAUCAGAGAGUGAUGAGUUGUCUUUUGUUUAUUUAGAGUAAACUUAAUUUCAUAUUU